GCCCUCGUAGCUCAGGGGAUAGAGCACCGCUCUCCUAAAGCGGGUGUCGCAGGUUCGAAUCCUGCCGAGGGCACAA
rnacentral:tRNA from 3 species